rnacentral:rRNA from 1 species
CAGCAGCCGCGGUAAUACGUAGGGCGCGAGCGUUGUCCGGAUUUAUUGGGCGUAAAGAGCUCGUAGGCGGUUUGUCGCGUCUGCUGUGAAAUCCUCUGGCUUAACUGGGGGCGUGCAGUGGGUACGGGCAGACUGGAGUGCGGUAGGGGAGACUGGAAUUCCUGGUGUAGCGGUGGAAUGCGCAGAUAUCAGGAGGAACACCGGUGGCGAAGGCGGGUCUCUGGGCCGUUACUGACGCUGAGGAGCGAAAGCAUGGGGAGCGAACAGGAUUAGAUACCCUGGUAGUCCAUGCCGUAAACGUUGGGAACUAGGUGUGGGGUCCAUUCCACGGGUCCUGUGCCGUAGCUAACGCAUUAAGUUCCCCGCCUGGGGAGUACGGCCGCAAGGCUAAAACUCAAAGGAAUUGACGGGGGCCCGCACAAGCGGCGGAGCAUGCGGAUUAAUUCGAUGCAACGCGAAGAACCUUACCAAGGCUUGACAUGCAUUCGACGUCUCCAGAGAUGGGGGUUCCGUAAGGCGGGUGCACAGGAGGUGCAUGGCC